rnacentral:rRNA from 1 species
UACGGCGAGUGAGCGGCAAAAGCUCAAAUUUGAAAUCUAGCACCUUCGGUGUUCGAGUUGUAAUUUGAAGAUGGUAACCUUGGGUUUGGCUCUUGUCUAUGUUCCUUGGAACAGGACGUCAUAGAGGGUGAGAAUCCCGUCUGAUGAGAUGCCCAUUCCUAUGUAAGGUGCUAUCGAAGAGUCGAGUUGUUUGGGAAUGCAGCUCUAAGUGGGUGGUAAAUUCCAUCUAAAGCUAAAUAUUGGCGAGAGACCGAUAGCGAACAAGUACAGUGAUGGAAAGAUGAAAAGAACUUUGAAAAGAGAGUGAAAAAGUACGUGAAAUUGUUGAAAGGGAAGGGCAUUAGAUCAGACUUGGUGUUUUACGAUUAUCUUCUCUUCUUGAGUUGUGCACUCGUAUUUCACUGGGCCAGCAUCGAUUCGGAUGGCAAGAUAAUGGCAGUUGAAUGUGGCUUCACUUCGGUGGAGUGUUAUAGCUUCUGCUGAUAUUGCCUGUCUGGAUCGAGGGCUGCGUCUUUUGACUAGGAUGCUGGCGUAAUGAUCUAAUGCCGCCCGUCUUA